rnacentral:rRNA from 1 species
UACGGAGGGAGCUAGCGUUGUUCGGAAUUACUGGGCGUAAAGCGCACGUAGGCGGCUUUGUAAGUUAGAGGUGAAAGCCCGGAGCUCAACUCCGGAAUUGCCUUUAAGACUGCAUCGCUAGAAUCAUGGAGAGGUUAGUGGAAUUCCGAGUGUAGAGGUGAAAUUCGUAGAUAUUCGGAAGAACACCAGUGGCGAAGGCGACUAACUGGACAUGUAUUGACGCUGAGGUGCGAAAGCGUGGGGAGCAACAGG